AGAGUCCCUAACUGCAAAACUGCACCACGAAGACCAAGGGCUUGUGACCGUCAAAUAGAAAGCCUGGCGUGCUGACGGCUAGGCUUCGACGACGUCUGUCUGUCCCCAACCACGUGCCUGGACACCGGCUGCCACGCUGAUGCCCUGCCUUUGACAUCUGGCCAGUUGCCGACCCCGUGCCUGGACACUGAUUGAAGACCUGCAAAGGAGACUAACUUCAGCUUAGAGGCAGUGGAACGAAACACCUCUCCACAGUGAAAUCCUCACAGCUGGACUGCAGAACUACCCUGGUGACGAAUCCAGUGCCUGAAAAAAACUACCAUGAAAAGUACCGCAUGGAGUACCGACACUCUCUAGAAAGCCCUUAAAGGGGCACUGACACCCCAAAGGUCGUAUCUUUUUUUAUUGUCUAAAACGAUGCAAGUUGCAGU